UGGGCUGUGCAGAAGUGAAACCACCACAGAGCCGACUGCGAGAGGACAGAGAGGAGGAGACAGGCUGGCUGGAGAGCAGAGCCUUGCUGAGCCCCGGAGAAAAUGGUUUGAGUAAUUAUCAACGCCUGUCGCUACGUGGCCAGGAAGAUGAGGACCCUGUGCAGCCAGGAGCGCCAGGAGCCGCCACCCUGCCCGGCACAGGCAGCUCCCCGCAGCCACCACCGAAAUGUAAAGGCAUCAGCAGCCCCCCAAGCUGGAGCCUCGCUUCCCAGGAGCAGCACUCCCAUCCAAGAGCAGCCCUGCAAGUCCUGAGGGUAAAAGCCUUUGUGGUCCUCCCCUGAAGGCCACAAGCUUUCUUCCCACUGCUUUCCCCUGGGAAUCCUGCAACCCAGGGAUUGGGAAACGUUAGCAGUUCCCUCCUGUAUCUGCUCUCAACACAGAAGAACAGUGCUGGAAUGUCCUCACUGACCUCAUGGCAGCAGAAUUCUCUAGAUGGCAGGAAAACAAGAGAUUGCCAACGUGUAUCAGGUGCUCCUGGCACUUUUGGGCCAUGGAGCACCAGGGGAAGAGCAAGGAGCCAUUGCCUGCCAGCAGCAAAGCAGAUUUGUCUGCAGUGGAACCAGCUUGUGCUCCCACAGAUGCUGGUGUGGGUUUGCAUGAAGGCAAAAUCAGCUCCUGGGUUGGAGUGAGGAGCCUUAGAGCUCAGUUCUGUGGAAAUCCCAUGGCCAUGCUUUAGUCAUGAGGUCUGUGGUGCCAGGUUGGACUUGAUGAUCUUUGAGGUCUCUUCCAGCCUUGGUGAUUCUGUGAUUCUGUGAAGCUGUCCUCACUGGGCAGCCAGCACCCUGCUGUCACACAGCACCCACAGAGCAGAGGGCUGCAAGGACCACAGUGGAAUCCCCCCUCCAGCAAACCCCUCCCCAAUGUCACAGAGAGCAAUGACAGCAGAAUCACAAACCCUGCACCAGCAGGGAGGAAUCUGCUUGACCCCUUCCUGUGACAGCCCAGGCUGGGCCAGAAAUAAAGGUGGAUGG